UGACAGAGGGUUGAGGACACACAAAAUCCUUGAGAGGAACUGUGACUUAGCACAUUCUUCACAUCACACAGGAUGAGAUUAUUCAUAGUUGGCCUCUCCCUCUAUCUCUGUAUACACUUCUCUCAAUGAAGAAAAGCACACAAUAUUUGCUUCAGUUUUUCUCUGGGUUUAAACUGAACAGGAAUAUUAAUUUUGUAUAACUGAUUUUCUUCACACAGCAGAAUCAAGUCAAGAACAAUAUUAAGGGCCUGUUCUUCUGAAAGCCCAGCUGAUAGGCUUUGAAAUGUGUGAGUUGCAGUUUCUUAUACUGCUAUGGUUCUAUAAGGAGUCUGUACAGCUGAAAACAUCUCACUUCACAACUCGCUUUUGGUUCUCCUCCCUGGACAUUACACCCAGUAAAUGGAACUCACACGUGCCCAUUUGCCCAACAACACUUACCACUUUGGCCACAAAUUUCGUGCGCUCCAAGUCCUCAUGGUGGCGUAGUGACUCGCCUCAAUCCAGGUGGCGGAGGAUGAAUCUCAGUUGCCUCCGCGUCCGAGACCAUUAAUCUGCGCAUCUUAUCACGGGGCUUGUUUAGCGCAUUACCACAGAGACAUAGCGUGUGUGGAGGCUUCACCCUAUUCUCUGCGGCAUCCACGCCCAACACACCAUGCGCCCCACCGAGAGCGAGAACUACAUUAUAGUGACCACGAGGAGGUUACCCCAUGUGACUCUACCCUCCCCAGCAACCGGGCCAAUUUGGUGGCUUAGGAGACCUGGCUGGAAUCACUCAGCAUGCCCUGGAUUCUCCAGGGGUGGUAGUUAGCGUCUUUACCUGCUGAGCUACCCAGGCCCCUUUUUCAGGCCUUAUUUUGUUAUUUUAUGUAACAUAAAUGUAGAAUUGAUGGUCAUCUCUGAAAAGUUCAGAUUCUAAGCUUUCAAAUUAUAUGAUAUGCCUGACUUUUGUAUUCGAAGACUUAAACAUUUUAAAUGUAAAACUUUUUUUGCAAGAUAGCGCCCCCUUUUGCCGGCGGGUCUGCAGAGUUAAGGGCUUGAAAUGGCAAGAUUAUUUUUCCACAUGACAAGAUUUGGUUGAAGGCUCUAUGUGGCUGCAUCCAAAUGCUAAAUAUCUCCAAAUUUUAAAAACAACUAUAAAUAUUCAUUAAAAUAUCUAUAAGACUGUGAAGUAUACACAAUGAGCAUGCUUACAUGCACGAUCUUACAACAUUUAUGGUUUAUAAGCUGACAAUGUGUUAGGUUAUUUAAACGCCUUAAACUCUUUAUGUCUUUAUUUCAAUAAAGGAAAGCUGUUUAAGCAAAAAACAAUCAACACGGUUUUCUUGCGUUGUCAGAUUUUUUGAAUAAGCGGAUUAUGGAUAGUUCUCAGCAUAAUGGUGUUCAAGUAAUCACACUUAAAAGUUAUAGAUAAGUAUAUUGGGAGGUCUUUAAAAAAAAAAAGAAGACAAAAAAUGGUUAGGUUUUAAUCCCCCCAAACUCGACUUCCUGGCAAAGACAGUCCAGUGUUCACCAGAAAAACUAUUAUUAAUGCUGCGUGUCAUGUCUGGGCAGCUAGACAAAUGCACACAAACAGACUGAGACACAGAUGCAUGUCCCAUAAAGGAUAUCCUGGGCUAAUGACUCACAGUAUGCACACCGGACCUAUUCCAGCCUAUCCGGAUCCAGACAUGACCCCAGCACAUACUCCCAAUAGAAGAUGACACCAGCAGCUUAGCAUUAUGGGAGACCUUUACUAGUUAUGAAAGCCUGUGAUCCAAGUGUACAAGGAGUCCCCAAAGAGAUGCCAACAGAGGAACAAGAAAUGCUUCUGUGGUAAGUGUGUUGCUUUAGAUAGAGUCUGUCAGGUGCAUGAGGAAUACGUGGCAUGAAAAGAUGCUCAGUGUCACAAAGAGAUCAAGAGCCCAUAAAUGCUCAUAAAUGACUUCAGGACAGACAGAGAGAGAUAGAUAGAGAUGAAAAAGAGAUGGGCAGCUAAAAUAGGAGUCGCAGCAUCAUGGAAAAAUUUACUAGGGUUUUGCAAAACUAGGUAACCCAGAGUAUACAGUAUGUACUUACUGGCAUAUGUAACACAGUGUCUCUACACAAAACACUUUAUAAAUAGGCUCCAAUAGGAUGCCUGGGCCCUGCUAAACCACCCUUGUCCCAAUGGACCAAACAUUGGCAGCCAUGCCCAAAAGAAGUGAUGGAAGGGUCCAAAAAGUAUUGAGCAAAUUUCAAACAUUUUAGUCACUCAACAAAUGAAAAGUCUGUAAUCAUUUACUUUCAUGUUGCUCCAACCCCUUAUGACUUUCAUCUGCAGAACACAAAAGGAAAGGCUAGACAGAAUGUUAGGAACUGACAGCACAAGUCUCCAUUUACUUUCAUUAUAUGGAAAAACAAAGCAAUGAAAGUAAAAAGGUGACAGACUAACAUUCUGCCCAACACCUCCUUUUGUGUUCCACUGAUGAAAGUAAAUUAUGUUAGAAUUUUUAUUCUUGCAUGAUCCGUCCCUUUAAACCCCAGCUACAGGAAUGAUGAAACAUCCUAAAGACAGUAUACAUACAGUAUAUUAGCCUUGAAUAUAGACAGGACAAAUAUAGCAUUUGGAGUAGAUGUCAACGGAAUGCAUACAGGCCCUAGAUUAUCACACAAAACCUUGUCUAACAGAGCGUUUUAUCUUGCAUUGUGCACAGAGAGCUGUACGGAGAUUCAACAAUCCUGAACACGAGCAGCCAACAUGCAGGAAUCAGAGACAGGCUUAAAGAUUUUGGCUCUGGCAUGGAGACAAGAGGCUUUGAAGCAGAUCAGCUACAGUUUCGUUCGAUCCAAAAAGUCUCUGUGCAUCUUCUGUGAGCAAGGGAGUGUUAAAUAUAAGCUGCAGAUGGCAGAAGAAAUAUGUAACGCAUUGUGGGUUAACAGUAUGGAGUAUGUCAUCAAAUAGAAAAAUACUGGUUCUGUGCUGGUACAAACGUGGUACACUUGAAGGUUUGAUAUACCACUUAAAGUCAUUACAUAAGAAGUUUAUUUGACUAUAAAAACUACAACCUGUGGGUCAUCUGUGUAUAAUAGUUUCAUAAAUUGUGUUGUGUAAAUCUGAUGUUAUUGUAAAUUGGUAUAUGUCUCAUCACUGUCAUGACUGCUAUGUUGUUUGGAACUGCACCCAAGACUUUCCCCCACUGUUGCACUUGUGUAUAUG